rnacentral:rRNA from 1 species
GAAUACCAAGGCGCUUGAGAGAACUCGGGUGAAGGAACUAGGCAAAAUGGUGCCGUAACUUCGGGAGAAGGCACGCUGAUAUGUAGGUGAAGUCCCUCGCGGAUGGAGCUGAAAUCAGUCGAAGAUACCAGCUGGCUGCAACUGUUUAUUAAAAACACAGCACUGUGCAAACACGAAAGUGGACGUAUACGGUGUGACGCCUGCCCGGUGCCGGAAGGUUAAUUGAUGGGGUCAGCGCAAGCGAAGCUCUUGAUCGAAGCCCCGGUAAACGGCGGCCGUAACUAUAACGGUCCUAAGGUAGCGAAAUUCCUUGUCGGGUAAGUUCCGACCUGCACGAAUGGCGUAAUGAUGGCCAGGCUGUCUCCACCCGAGACUCAGUGAAAUUGAACUCGCUGUGAAGAUGCAGUGUACCCGCGGCAAGACGGAAAGACCCCGUGAACCUUUACUAUAGCUUGACACUGAACAUUGAGCCUUGAUGUGUAGGAUAGGUGGGAGGCUUUGAAGUGUGGACGCCAGUCUGCAUGGAGCCGACCUUGAAAUACCACCCUUUAAUGUUUGAUGUUCUAACGUGGACCCGUGAUCCGGGUUGCGGACAGUGUCUGGUGGGUAGUUUGACUGGGGCGGUCUCCUCCUAAAGAGUAACGGAGGAGCACGAAGGUUGGCUAAUCCUGGUCGGACAUCAGGAGGUUAGUGCAAUGGCAUAAGCCAGCUUGACUGCGAGCGUGACGGCGCGAGCAGGUGCGAAAGCAGGUCAUAGUGAUCCGGUGGUUCUGAAUGGAAGGGCCAUCGCUCAACGGAUAAAAGGUACUCCGGGGAUAACAGGCUGAUACCGCCCAAGAGUUCAUAUCGACGGCGGUGUUUGGCACCUCGAUGUCGGCUCAUCACAUCCUGGGGCUGAAGUAGGUCCCAAGGGUAUGGCUGUUCGCCAUUUAAAGUGGUACGCGAGCUGGGUUUAGAACGUCGUGAGACAGUUCGGUCCCUAUCUGCCGUGGGCGCUGGAGAACUGAGGGGGGCUGCUCCUAGUACGAGAGGACCGGAGUGGACGCAUCACUGGUGUUCGGGUUGUCAUGCCAAUGGCACUGCCCGGUAGCUAAAUGCGGAAGAGAUAAGUGCUGAAAGCAUCUAAGCACGAAACUUGCCCCGAGAUGAGUUCUCCCUGACCCUUUAAGGGUCCUGAAGGAACGUUGAAGACGACGACGUUGAUAGGCCGGGUGUGUAAGCGCAGCGAUGCGUUGAGCUAACCGGUACUAAUGAACCGUGAGGCUUAACCUUACAACGCCGAAGGUGUUU